UAAACGAGCGCAUUUAUUAGAUAAAAAGCCAAUGCAUGCUUUUACAGUAUGGAAAUUGGUGAUUUAUAAUAACUUGGCAAAUCGCAAAGUGAAAACAGGCGAUAAAUCAUUCAAGUUUCUGACCUAUCAGCUUUCGACGGUAUGGUAUUGGCUUACCGUGGCAGUGACGGUUAACGGGGGAUUAGGGUUCGAUUCCGGAGAGGGAGCCUGAGAAACGGCUACCACAUCUAAGGAAGGCAGCAGGCGCGCAAAUUACCCAAUUCUAACAGUUUGAGAGAGGUAGUAACAAGAAAUAACAAUACAAGGCAAUUAAAAUGCUUUGUAAUUGGAAUGAUAGAAAUUUAAACCCUUUUUAAAGUAUCAAUUGGAGGGCAAGUCUGGUGCCAGCAGCCGCGGUAAUUCCAGCUCCAAUAGCGUAUAUUAAAAUUGUUGCAGUUAAAAAGCUCGUAGUUGAAGUUCUGCUAAAAGUAACCGGUCUGCUUUUAAUAAAAGUGGUAUCUUGGUGUGUAUUUAGCAAUGAUGUCCUUUGAAGUGUUUUUUACUUUAUUGUAAUAAAGCAUAUUCAGGACUUUUACUUUGAGAAAAUUAGAGUGUUUCUAGCAGGCCGACGCUUUGAAUACUGCAGCAGAGAAGAGGAAAGGUAAAAGACA
rnacentral:rRNA from 1 species